rnacentral:lncRNA from 10 species
AAGGAGUCGGGGGUGACAGAGAGACAGAGAAAGUUUGAGAUGAAGAAAAAAUACCAUAUUUUAUUGAUUCCAGGUUCUUGCAGUAAUCAGACAGAUAAAAGAUCCUUUAAUACUGGUGCUUGGACAGUGUUUUACAAAACAGAAAGAUUAUGCAAUACUUAAUAUUUGGUAACAAUUUUUAGCACAUAGUAAAUAUUUUAUUACUUUGUGUAAUAAACAUUCUGAAAAAUAAAUUCUUUCAUUAUGAUAUAACUUAUGAUCCUCACCCUAACAUGGCUAUGUUCUCUAAUUACUCCUUUGUAAGUAAAAUCAUAAGUAAUAAUAGUUGUAAUCACAAGUAAUACUAGUUUUAAUCAUAAUACACACAUAAUUUUGAAUCCUGAUUUUUCUACUUAAAAGUAUGUAAUGACCAUGUUACUAUCUUGCUACAUAAUUUUCAUAAUCAUCAUUUGAAAAUUGUACAUUGUACCUGAUCAUAUGGAUAUACCAUAAAUCACAAACCACAGCUAUACCAUAUUAUCCUAGGCAAUGUUCCUAUAAUCUAUUUGAACACUUUUAUUGUUCAGAAAAUAACAUCAAAUAAAUCUGAUGGACAUGAGUUCUUCCCUUAGAAGAGUAAGCCAAGCUGGGACUUAAAGUGUGUUUGCUCUAGAAUCUAGAGUGGCCUGUAGGAUUGACAGGCAAGUUGGCCAAUGGUGUAUGUGUACUGAGAAACAAAGCAGCCCCUUCAAGAAGCCCAUUCUCUGGGAAAAGUGAGCUUGGGACUCAGAUAAUGCUUGAGUCCUGGAGAGGGACAAAGGUUCUAAGUACAACAAUCGGUCAGUUAAUUCACUUGUCUGAUGAACAGCUGUGAGGCCUGUUUCACCAAAUAUUGAUGAGAUGUUGUGAUCACCAGUCACACUAAUUUGGGAUCCCUGUAUCUCAACAAGAGGAGAAGGAUUUUUCUACCUCCAGAGAGAAUAAGAGCACUGUCACCACUCCAACAACCCAAAGAAGUAUAGCUUCAAUAGUGAGCGUCAGCUGCAGGCGGCACCUGUGGCAGUAGCAGCCCUUAGGUGCCUUCCAUAGCUACCGGCAGCAGAUAUUUCUGCUGGGAGACAGAGCCAGAGCCAGAGAGAACCAUGUACUCCAUGUGGUUGUGCAAAUUCCUUGUGUUUGAAAGCAACCCUCACGCAAUUCCCCAAAAUAAUUAGGGAAACCCUUGUGGGUUGUCUAGCCUUUGGGACAGAUUUUUUUUAAAAAAAUACUAUUUGUUACUGUUAACAUAGGGUCUAAAUUGCCCUCUGGGUUAGGGAAGACUAGGAAAAAAUGAAUUGAACUUUAUAAUUUUUAUGCUAGGAGGGAGGGUACAUAGACUUUUACUAUACUGUUCUCCGAAAUAUUUCACUUAAAAGAUAAAAUCACGGUGCAAGUAAACAUGCUUUAAUAGAAGGAGUGUAAAUAUGGCAAAUUUACACAAAGUAUUUUCUUCCUUUUUUUUUUUUUUUUUUUUUGAGACAGAGUCUCAAUCUGUUGCCCAGGCUGGAGUGCAGUGGCACGAUCUCGGCUCAUUGCAACCUCUGCCUCCCGGGUUCAAGAGAUUCUCCCACCUCAGCUUCACAAGUAGCUGGGAUUACAGGCGUGUACCACCAUGCCCAGUUAAUUUUUGUGUUUUUAGUACAGAUGGGGUUUCACCAUGUUGGCCAGGCUAGUCUCGAACUCCCGACCUCAGGUGAUCUGCCUACCUAAUUGUAGAUGACACAAACAAAUGGAAAAACAUCCCAUGAAUUGGAAUAACUAAUAUCAUUAACAUAAUCAUACUGCUCAAAACAAUCUACAGAUUCAAUGAAAUCCCUAUCAAGAUACCAACAUCAUUUUUCACGGAAUUAGAAAAAACAAUUCUAAAACUCAUAUGGAACAAAAAAGAGUCCAAAUAACCAAAGCAGUCCUAAGCAAAAGAACAAAGCUGGAGGCAUCACAUUGCUUGAUUUCAAAUUAUACUAUAAGGCUAUAGUAAUCAAAAGAGCACAGUACUGGUAUAAAACCAGACACAUAGAUUAAUGGAACAGAAUAGAUAACACAGACAUAAGAUCACAUAUUUACAGCUAACUGAUCUUUGACAAAGCCAAUAAAAACAUACACAAAGGACACCCUUUUCCAUAAAUGGUGCUGAGAAAAUAGAUUCACUAUAUGCAAAAGAAUGGAACUGAACUCCUAUCACUGUAUACAAAAAUCAACUCAAGAUGAAUUAAAAACGUAAUAGUAAAACCUGAAACUAUAAAAACACUAGAAGAAAACCCAGGGAAAACUCUUCUGCACAUUGGUCUAGGCAAAUUAUUUAUGACUAAGACCUCAAAAGUGUAAGCAAUAACAACAAAAAAAUAGGGCCAGGCAUGGAGGCUCACACCUGUAAUCCUAGCACUUUGGGAGGCCAAGGCAGGUGGACUGCCUGAGCUCAGGAGUUCAAGACCAGCCUGGGCAACACAGUGAAACCCCGUCUCUACUAAAAUACAAAAAAAUUAGCUGGGCAUGAUGGCAUGUGCCUGUAAUCCCACUUACUUGGGAGGCUGAGGCAGGAGAAUUGUUUGAACCCGUGAGGCAGAGGUUGUAGUGAGCCGAGAUCACCCCAUUGCACUCCAGCCUGGGUGACAGAGUGAGACUCUGUAUAAAAAAAUAAAUAAAUAAAUAAAUAAAUAAAGACAAAUGGGUUAUAAUUAAACUAAAUUAAACUAAAAAACUUCUGCACAGUAUAACAGAUGAUCAAUAGGGUGAAUAGAAAACCUGCAUAGUGAGAGAACAUUUUUGCAAACUAUUCAUCCAACAGGAGGAGACUAAUAUCCAGAAUCUACAAGAAACUCAAUUCAACAAAUACAAAAAAUAAUCUCAUUAAAAAUGGGCAAAAAAUAUGAAUAUACAUUUCUCAAAAGAAGACAUACAAAUUUCCUACAGGUGUAUGAAAAUUCUCAACAUCACUAAUCAUCAUAGAAAUGCAAAUUAAAAUGAGACAUCAUCAUACCUUAGUCAGAAUGGCUACUAUUAUUUUACUUUUUAUUUUUUUUUUGAGACGGAGUCUCACUUUGUCGCCCAGGCUGGAGCACAGUGGCAUGAUCUCAGCUCACUGCAACCUCUGCCUCCCGGGUUCAAGUGAUUCUCCUGCCUCAGCCUCCCAAGUUGCUGGGACUACAGGCACGUGUCAC